rnacentral:rRNA from 1 species
AUGUCGUGGGAGCGUAUGAUUAAGCCCAAGAGAGCAGGAGGGAUUGGUUUUCAUGAUAUGCAGAUUUUCAACCAAGCCCUCCUCGCAAGACAAAGUUGGCGCCUGCUUCAGAACCCAAAUAGCCUUUGUGCUAGAGUCCUUAAGUCAAAAUAUUAUCCUAAAGGAGAUCUCCUUGAUACUGUUUUUGCUUCGGACGCAUCCCAAGCAUGGAAGGGCAUUGAACAUGGCCUUGAGCUUCUAAAAAAGGGGCUGAUAUGGAGAGUUGGAAACGGGAAGAAAAUUCAGAUUCAAAGAGACCAAUGGGUCCCAAGGAAAAGUGGGCUGAAAGUAACAGAGUUUAAGAGACGAUCAAGGUUAAGGUGGGUAAACCAGCUAAUGAAAUCAGAUAGCAAAGAAUGGGACGAGACACUCAUCCACCAACUGUUCCAUACCUAUGAUGCCGAAGAAAUCUGCAAGAUUAAAAUUCCUAGAUAUGAAGCUGAGGAUUGUGUUGCAUGGCAUGAAGAAAAGUCUGGCUUGUUCACUGUCCGAAGCGCAUACAGGUUGGGUGCAAGUCCCAAACAACAUGGCGACGCGCUGGCGUCGAGCUCGUCUCAUGAUGCGGAGAAUAGAAGCAUAUGGGACCUCAUAUGGAAAACGAAAGUACCGGAAAAGGUCAGGAUUUUUGUGUGGCGAGUGGCAACUAAAACACUCCCCACCAAAGAGAAUAAGUGGAAAAGAACACUUGAGCUUGACAACAUCUGUAGUAUAUGUGGGAGGGAGCCGGAGGAUGAGUUCCAUGCAACAGUUAAUUGCACAAAGGCCCGUGCACUCCGAGAGAAAAUGAGAUCGAACUGGUGCUUACCGGAUGAGGAUCAUUUCAGAAAAACCGGUGUUGACUGGCUCCAGAAUCUACUAGGGAACUGCGAUGCAGAAUCAAGGAGGAAAAUAUUACUCCUGUUGUGGCGUGCGUGGUGGCUGCGCGAUGAUUGCAUCCAUGCAGAUGGCAACGCUAUGAUCAGCCAUUCAGCGGGCUUCUUGGUCAAAUAUGUUGAGGAAUUGAAUCUGAUAGGAACUGAACCCACUGCAGACGAGGUGGACGGUCACCUGGUCGGCGUUCAGAAACCUGGCUCUGUUGAGGCGCGCCGCGCGGAGAUUAGAAAUGGCAAGAAGCCCCAGGAGCAGUGCUUGUGGAACGGCCAAAAUAAUAGUACCCGUGAGGAAUUGGAAGCAGACCAAUCAGCAAGGACGGCAAUGAAGCCCAUACAUACAAAGAGGAGCAAAUGA